UUUAAAUCCAGAGACAUAAACUCUUGUCAGGGAUAGUGUUUCACACUUUGUUUGGAUCACUAGAAAUCUUGGAGCUAAUAUUUCAGCCCAUGUUAAGCAACGGUAUAGUACCAUGUGGUAUGCAUUUUCGGUGGGCAAAUUUUUUUAUUUUCCCUCUGCCCUGAUUAUUUCCGUAAUUUGUUUUCUUUUUUGUAGGACAAGUCAGGAUAUAAAUAUACCUUUGCUUAAGACUCUUUGUUUGCAAGUAACAGAAACCAACCUGAAGUAGCUUAACCAAAAGGGAAGAACUGUAUCAUAAGGUUGCAGAUGCUUCUCACAGAAGCCGGGAGCAGGAAUACAGCUGCAGCAAAGGAGUAGACCCAGGAGUUGGAAAGCUUUCAGGAACUCAAAGGAGAAUACAGUCGUCCCGCUAUUCAGCUAGGAAGUCAGCCCAGCGUGGAGAUCAGAGCCAAAACAAGGAAGCUCUGUCCGCUGAAAGAACCCUGGAGCAGCAGCCCUAUAUCCAGGAGAACACCUAACAUCCCGAUUGAAACACCAUCUUCUGCUAAAAGGAACCGGGAAUCCUUGAAGAAAUACCUGAUUUCACGGUUGGGACAGAGAAAGCGUAAGUGAGCCUGGACCUUCUUGUCGUGCCAGAAAACACGAAAAUGCUCGAAGAGUGAAGGAGACAUUUCAAAACAACAAUGUAGUCCGUUUGAAGGGACUCCCACUGGCCAAAUCUGGGAAAUUGGAACAUCAAAAUAAAUGAUGAUAGUAGGAGAUUAUGUCCCAUGGAGUAAAAUAG